rnacentral:rRNA from 1 species
UACGGAGGGAGCUAGCGUUGUUCGGAUUUACUGGGCGUAAAGCGCACGUAGGCGGAUCGUUAAGUUAGAGGUGAAAUCCCGGAGCUCAACUCCGGAACUGCCUUUAAUACUGGCGAUCUUGAGUCCGAGAGAGGUGAGUGGAACUCCUAGUGUAGAGGUGGAAUUCGUAGAUAUUAGGAAGAACACCAGUGGCGAAGGCGGCUCACUGGCUCGGUACUGACGCUGAGGUGCGAAAGCGUGGGGAGCAAACAGG